rnacentral:rRNA from 1 species
CCUACGGGAGGCAGCAGUGGGGAAUAUUGCACAAUGGGGGAAACCCUGAUGCAGCGACGCCGCGUGAGUGAAGAAGUAUUUCGGUAUGUAAAGCUCUAUCAGCAGGGAAGAAAAUGACGGUACCUGAGUAAGAAGCCCCGGCGAACGACGGGCCAGCAGCCGCGGUAAUACGUAGGGGGCAAGCGUUAUCCGGAUUUACUGGGUGUAAAGGGAGCGUAGACGGCAGCGCAAGUCCGCAGUGAAAUGCCGGGGCUUAACCCCGGAACUGCUUUGGAAACUGUGCAGCUAGCGUGCAGGAGCGGUACGUGGACUUCCUCGUGUCGCGGUCACCUGCGUAGCUCUUAGGAGGACCCCCAGUG